rnacentral:rRNA from 1 species
GACGAACGCUGGCGGCGUGCUUAACACAUGCAAGUCGAACGGAAAGGCCCUGCUUGCAGGGUACUCGAGUGGCGAACGGGUGAGUAACACGUGGGUGAUCUGCCCUGCACUUCGGGAUAAGCCUGGGAAACUGGGUCUAAUACCGGAUAGGAGCCAUUUUUAGUGGGAUGGUUGGAAAGUUUUUUCGGUGUUGGCUGAGCUCGCGGCCUAUCGGCUUGUUGGUGGGGUAAUGGUCUACCAAGGCGGCGACGGGUAGCCGGCCUGAGAGGGUGGGCGGCCACCUUGGGACUGAGAUACGGCCCAGACUCCUACGGGAGGCAGAAGUGGGGAAUAUUGCACAAUGGGCGCCAGCCUGAUGCAGCGACGCCGCGUGGGGGAUGACGGCCUUCGGGUUGUAAACUCCUUUCGCUAGGGACGAAGCUUUUUGUGACGGUACCUAGAUAAGAAGCACCGGCUAACUACGUG